rnacentral:lncRNA from 1 species
CUACCUUAGUCAAAAGAAGCGAACAGCAGUUAUGGCUGAGAAUAAAUGACUGUUAAGUGCUCAGCCCUAAAUAGGGCAUCUGUAUUAACCCUGCCACAGCUCAGGAACCAUUGCUGAGGAGGAAGAAUGUAAGAGCUGGAGGACAGGAGGAGAGCCAUGAAACACUGUCUUCGGGACAUGGCCUGGCCAUUGUACUCAGGAACUCACAGUAGCUGAGCCCCAACAUUCCAGCAUGGAUGGAGAAAGAGCCUCACAAUGGACUUCAGUAAGCCUGUGUGUGCUGGUCUUCCUGGAUAGAGCAGCCGGAAGUGAAGAGUGUGGAACUUGCCAUCCAAGACCACAGUUGUCACCAAGAUCUGCAUGGCAACCACUCAGGAGGGCUCCUGCUGGGUGUUCUCCGUGUCUGGAGCCGCUCUG